GAAGGAGUCUCACUCUUGGUUCACAGCGGGGAUUAAUCGGAGAUGUACGAAGGGAGAAAUCGAGAGAGAUGAGCGAACAGAGGGAGAUGAGGGACGAAGUCGUUACGUUCUCACGGCGGUGAUUCGAGAUCGAGAUUGAGAUCGGAGAAGAGGAGAUUUUCGCUGCGUCUGAGUUUGAAAGGGGAAGGAAGCUGAUACGUCUCAAUUGAUUGAGGAGUAACGGCUAUUGAGCUUGGUGAGGAUAGCUUAUAGGCUAGUCUGUUAGUUUUGUCGGUGUCAUGCUCUGAUUUCUAAUACUGGGGGACACUAGUUAGAGGUAAUUAUUAUACUCUUAUUUCUGUUGGUGUUUGGAUUAUGUUUUUAUUGGUUUAUGCAUCGAUGAAGAUUAUGCUAUUCCGUUUUAAAUUAA